rnacentral:rRNA from 1 species
GGGAAUAUUGGACAAUGGGCGAAAGCCUGAUCCAGCGACGCCGCGUGUGUGAAGAAGGCCUGCGGGUUGUAAAGCACUUUCGAUGGGAACGAAAUGUGCCGGGUUAAUACCCCGGCAAGCUGACGUUACUCCAUGAAGAAGCCACGGCUCACUCUGUGCCAGCAGCCGCGGUAAUCCAGAGGGUGCGAGCUUUAAUCGGAAUUACUGGGCGUAAAGCGCACGUAGGUGGCGACGUAAGUCGGGUGUGAAAGCCCCGGGCUCAACCUGGGAAUUGCAUUCGAGACUGCAUUGCUGGAGUACGGAAGAGGAGGGCGGAAUUCCCGGUGUAGCGGUGAAAUGCGUAGAUAUCGGGAGGAACAUCAGUGGCGAAGGCGGCCCUCUGGUCCAGUACUGACACUCAAGUGCGAAAGCGUGGGGAGCAAAC